AUACGUAGGGGGCGAGCGUUGUCCGGAAUGAUUGGGCGUAAAGGGCGCGUAGGCGGCCCGGUAAGUCUGGAGUGAAAGUCCUGUUUUUAAGAUGGGAAUUGCUUUGGAUACUGUCGGGCUUGAGUGCAGGAGAGGUAAGUGGAAUUCCCAGUGUAGCGGUGAAAUGCGUAGAGAUUGGGAGGAACACCAGUGGCGAAGGCGACUUACUGGACUGUAACUGACGCUGAGGCGCGAAAGUGUGGGGAGCAAACUGGAUUAGAUACCCUGGUAGUCCACACUGUAAACGAUGAAUGCUAGGUGUAGGGGGUAUCGACCCCUUCUGUGCCGCAGUCAACACAAUAAGCAUUCCGCCUGGGGAGUACGGCCGCAAGGUUGAAACUCAAAUGAAUUGACGGGG
rnacentral:rRNA from 1 species